AGGUGGUCAGACAAACAUCGCCUACAAAAUAUCAGCGGCGAAUAUAGCCUAGAACAUAUUUAAAAUCAAUUUUAAAGUACGAGCGCGCAGCCAACCGCAAAACGGAGCACCUCGCGACAUUGACAUCAAGGAAGGAAUGAAAACAAUCAAGAAAACGCUACGUCACGUGGGCACGUCACGAAUUUUCGUUGGCUACCAUGCCAUGCUGCUUACAUGUGCUCUUAUUCUCUGUUGUUUGUUCUAGCUGGUGUACUUGAAGUGGGACGCUCUCCGUGUCGCUGCAACUGCAGUUUUUGUCGUGUCCGUCGGGAUAUUUCACGCACUAUCAGCAUGACGGCGCUGCACUGACCACGCACGAAUUGCGAGCGCAGCACAAUGCCGCGUACGUACUGCGUCGUUGACUUCUGCGGAACAUAUUCAGGGUUGGGCAUAGCUAUGCAUCGUUUUCCCCACGAUAGCAUUCACUGGCAGAAGUGGACCGAGUUCGUGCGCGCCUCUGGACGCUUAGAGUGGACCCCGCUGAAAAACAGCCUUAUCUGCUCCCUUCAUUUCGAGCGUGCAUGCUAUAAACAAAACCCGCUGGACUUAGCGCAGUCCGAUUCUUCACCAAGACUACAUUUCCUCAAGCCUGGUGCUGUGCCGACUAUUUACGCCGCCAUGUGUCCCACCAAUACUUCUAAAGGAGGCAUUGGUCCUGCUCCAUUGCUCAAGCGUCCUCGACGACAGGUUCGUACUACUUGCAGCGGUGCGUACGCAUAAUGAUAGCGUCAUAUGUGAUGAUGCAGGUGUGCUCGGACACGGAGCUUGAGCCUGCGGCCCCCCAUCCCGUGUCGAUCGACCUGAACGCUGACUGCCAGAUUAACGAGGCCGCAAAUGCGUCAGGUCAAGUAAAGCUGGAUGCACAGUCCCAGUGCUUCGUUGAAGUUUAUUCCAAGGCCACUCAGGCGGCUCUGAAAGCUACACCAAAAUCUGCAAAGGUGCAAGCAAGCCGAACGGUCAAGGAAGUGGCAUGCCAGACUGAUUUGGAAUUGCCGGACAUCCUGUUGAUGGAGGAAAUGCGUCAGCGGUGUUCAACACCUUUAUGUUCAGAGCCAUCCAUGACCUAUGAAGACAACACUCGUGAUAAAACAUGAGCCUACAUUGAACAGCUCAGUGGCAACAGGCCUGUUGUAUCGCCCGGCUGCACACUCUGGCAUCCCAGCAGCAUUCAAAGACGCGCUACCACACCUGCCAUCAACACGUUUCUUGCGCUAAAGGUGACCUUGUGUGACUGUAGACGCUGUGGUUUGUGUCAGAAGUUCUUGGCCCGCUAUUCUGGCCCGUUCGUCAUUCUUGAACGCGUCAGUGACGCUACGUACGUAAUCUCUCGUCUCAUAAGUACCCGUCGCCGCUUUAGUAAGUCACGAUUGACUUAGCUGCACGCCUCAAGCUUUACCACCAUUGAUCCUCUGAUUGACUUGCCCACUGGGCAUCUUCUGCGAAUGGGGAAAUAAAACGUGCUAAUGCAAAUGAAUAUGAAGUUGCACUGUACUGCGAUUGUCUCCGUAGAUGGCCUACCUGGAGCUAUCAUCUCCCAUCCUGUAAAUAAAUGUGACGCAUUGUCACAAUAUUUAUCUUGGUUUUCUUUCGGAGCUUGUUACGUUUCUUGUACUAAUGAACAUUUCUGCUGCUACUUCUGCUUUUAGAUGUACUGCAACAUUGUAACGUUGGAUUUACGCUAGUUAUUGCUGUGAAUGGGCUAUGACAUAUUCGUCUGACUACAGUGUUCUCAGUUUAUCAUUGUAACCGUGAGUAGAGAGCUCUAUACGGUCACGAAAAAAAAAAAAAAAAAAAAACUUAAACACUUUCUAUUUAAAAUUGGUGCCUCUAAGCCCCUUCUGACAGCAACUGCCACUUUAGCAUGGUCUGUGCAACAUCAGGAAGUGAGGGGCUGCUACUUUGUUAUCUCUCGUGUUUUAUCUUUUUGAACCACCUUCUAACCUCACCCACUUCGUUCCUGCAUCAUUCUGACAAAAAAAAAAAAAAAAAAAGUGGCCAGUUCUGCCAUAGUUAAUGAAAUAUUGUCUAAUAUAGCACGACUUGGCAUAAGCCGUGGCUGAAUUGGCAGAAAGGAUGAUGGCACAUGACUAGAAAUGGGCAAUUGUCUAGUCUAAUAUGCGUCGUCUUCUCUUGUGCCAUUUGUUGCAAGAUAAACCUGUACCAAAUAGGCCAAGAAGCCCGACUUUGCACAAGCCAGUUUCCUAUUUUUGAGAGCUGCCUAUGUAGUCAAGUACACACAACCACUAAGCCCUCUAAAAAUGUUUUGUGCAGCUACUCCUUGGUGCAAUUGUACAUUACACAAAUACAUAAUGCUCUCCACUCUCUAUAAUGUUGCACUUGGAAGUAGCCAUUUGGUAUAUGCAUGUAAAGAAAGCGAAUAAUUUCUAAAUGCAUGCCAUGUCUCUGAGGGUUUCUAGUUUUCAUUGACCGAAAUGUAUUGCAUGAAUUGUCUGGUAACAAUGAAUGGAGAUGAUGUGAUAAGCAGAAGUCAGAAUGGCAAUGAGUAGAUAAGAUUACGUAUAGCCCUUGUAUUCACUGAACUCGAAACAGUCUACCAGUCUUUGCUGUCAUGUCAACUGUGGAUGUGUAGGCCACAACAAGUGAUGCAGACCUUGGUCGUGGCCCUCAUAACAAUAAUGCCAUAUAUUUUGUGAAUAAAAACAUUAUGUAUUCUCCAAUUUGUUCAGAAGGCAAUUUGUAACUUCACAUGCAAUGCAAAUUUCAUGUCCUGAACCCUCUUCUUGUUACAAAGCAUUGCAGCAGCACACACAGGCACAUUUUGUUUACAUUUUUUAAAUAAUCCGGAUAUUUAAAUCCUGCAUACACCUCAGAUGGGAAGGCGUCCCUCACAGCAACGAAACAGCUGGGCAGCACCUUCCUGUUGCCCUGUCCCAGCCGAUGCCACACCCGCCGUGCAAAUUGACGGUAUGCGGUGUAUCUGUACCACCUGAAAAUAAAUGAACAAGGUUAGAAUUUUAAAGAUAACGCGAAUUAGCGGCGGGUGAUGC
rnacentral:misc_RNA from 1 species